rfam:Felis catus isolate Cinnamon breed Abyssinian chromosome B2, whole genome shotgun sequence.
GCCUGGGUGGCUCAGUCAGUUAAGCAUCUGACUUCAGCUCAGGUCAUGAUCUCAUGGUUCACGGGUUAAAGUCCCGUGUCAGGCU